ACAGAGAGCUUGCUCUCGGGUGACGAGUGGCGGACGGGUGAGUAAUGUCUGGGAAACUGCCUGAUGGAGGGGGAUAACUACUGGAAACGGUAGCUAAUACCGCAUAACGUCGCAAGACCAAAGAGGGGGACCUUCGGGCCUCUUGCCAUCAGAUGUGCCCAGAUGGGAUUAGCUAGUAGGUGGGGUAACGGCUCACCUAGGCGACGAUCCCUAGCUGGUCUGAGAGGAUGACCAGCCACACUGGAACUGAGACACGGUCCAGACUCCUACGGGAGGCAGCAGUGGGGAAUAUUGCACAAUGGGCGCAAGCCUGAUGCAGCCAUGCCGCGUGUAUGAAGAAGGCCUUCGGGUUGUAAAGUACUUUCAGCGGGGAGGAAGGUGUUGUGGUUAAUAACCGCAGCAAUUGACGUUACCCGCAGAAGAAGCACCGGCUAACUCCGUGCCAGCAGCCGCGGUAAUACGGAGGGUGCAAGCGUUAAUCGGAAUUACUGGGCGUAAAGCGCACG
rnacentral:rRNA from 1 species